rnacentral:rRNA from 1 species
ACAUGCAAGGUCGAACGAAGGCUUCGGCCUUAGUGGCGCACGGGUGCGUAACGCGUGGGAAUCUGCCCCUUGGUUCGGAAUAACAGUUGGAAACGACUGCUAAUACCGGAUGAUGACGUAAGUCCAAAGAUUUAUCGCCGAGGGAUGAGCCCGCGUAGGAUUAGGUAGUUGGUGUGGUAAAGGCGCACCAAGCCGACGAUCCUUAGCUGGUCUGAGAGGAUGAUCAGCCACACUGGGACUGAGACACGGCCCAGACUCCUACGGGAGGCAGCAGUGGGGAAUAUUGGACAAUGGGCGAAAGCCUGAUCCAGCAAUGCCGCGUGAGUGAUGAAGGCCUUAGGGUUGUAAAGCUCUUUUACCCGGGAUGAUAAUGACAGUACCGGGAGAAUAAGCUCCGGCUAACUCCGUGCCAGCAGCCGCGGUAAUACGGAGGGAGCUAGCGUUAUUCGGAAUUACUGGGCGUAAAGCGCACGUAGGCGGCUUUGUAAGUAAGAGGUGAAAGCCCAGAGCUCAACUCUGGAAUUGCCUUUUAGACUGCAUCGCUUGAAUCAUGGAGAGGUCAGUGGAAUUCCGAGUGUAGAGGUGAAAUUCGUAGAUAUUCGGAAGAAC